rnacentral:rRNA from 1 species
GACGAACGCUGGCGGCGUGCUUAACACAUGCAAGUCGAACGGAAAGGCCCUGCUUUUGUGGGGUGCUCGAGUGGCGAACGGGUGAGUAACACGUGAGUAACCUGCCCUUGACUUUGGGAUAACUUCAGGAAACUGGGGCUACUACCGGAUAGGAGCUCCUGCUGCAUGGUGGGGGUUGGAAAGUUUCGGCGGUUGGGGAUGGACUCGCGGCUUAUCAGCUUGUUGGUGGGGUAGUGGCUUACCAAGGCUUUGACGGGUAGCCGGCCUGAGAGGGUGACCGGCCACAUUGGGACUGAGAUAAGGCCCAGACUCCUACGGGAGGCAGCAGUGGGGAAUAUUGCACAAUGGGCGGAAGCCUGAUGCAGCAACGCCGCGUGCGGGAUGACGGCCUUCGGGUUGUAAACCGCUUUCGCCUGUGACGAAGCGUGAGUGACGGUAAUGGGUAAAGAAGCACCGGCUAACUACGUG